GACGAACGCUGGCGGCGCGCCUAACACAUGCAAGUCGAACGGAGCUGAGAGAAGCUUGCUUUUCUUAGCUUAGUGGCGAACGGGUGAGUAACGCGUGAGUAACCUGCCCUGGAGUGGGGGACAACAGUUGGAAACGACUGCUAAUACCGCAUAAGCCCACGAUCCGGCAUCGGAUUGAGGGAAAAGGAUUUAUUCGCUUCAGGAUGGACUCGCGUCCAAUUAGCUAGUUGGUGAGGUAACGGCCCACCAAGGCGACGAUUGGUAGCCGGACUGAGAGGUUGAACGGCCACAUUGGGGCUGAGACACGGCCCAGACUCCUACGGGAGGCAGCAGUGGGGGAUAUUGCACAAUGGGGGAAACCCUGAUGCAGCGACGCCGCGUGGAGGAAGAAGGUUUUCGGAUUGUAAACUCCUGUCGUUAGGGACGAUAAUGACGGUACCUAACAAGAAAGCACCGGCUAACUACGUG
rnacentral:rRNA from 1 species